CACGUAGGGCGCAAGCGUUGUCCGGAAUUAUUGGGCGUAAAGAGCUCGUAGGCGGCUUGUCACGUCGGAUGUGAAAGCCCGGGGCUUAACCCCGGGUCUGCAUUCGAUACGGGCAGGCUAGAGUUCGGUAGGGGAGAUCGGAAUUCCUGGUGUAGCGGUGAAAUGCGCAGAUAUCAGGAGGAACACCGGUGGCGAAGGCGGAUCUCUGGGCCGAUACUGACGCUGAGGAGCGAAAGCGUGGGGAGCGAACAGG
rnacentral:rRNA from 1 species